CCCUUUGUUGUUAAAACUACCUUGUUGCUUUGGCGGGACCGCUCGGUCUCGAGCCGCUGGGGAUUCGUCCCAGGCGAGCGCCCGCCAGAGUUAAACCAAACUCUUGUUAUUUAACCGGUCGUCUGAGUUAAAAUUUUGAAUAAAUCAAAACUUUCAACAACGGAUCUCUUGGUUCUCGCAUCGAUGAAGAACGCAGCGAAAUGCGAUAAGUAAUGUGAAUUGCAGAAUUCAGUGAAUCAUCGAAUCUUUGAACGCACAUUGCGCCCCUUGGUAUUCCGAGGGGCAUGCCUGUUCGAGCGUCAUUACACCACUCAAGCUAUGCUUGGUAUUGGGCGUCGUCCUUAGUUGGGCGCGCCUUAAAGACCUCGGCGAGGCCACUCCGGCUUUAGGCGUAGUAGAAUUUAUUCGAACGUCUGUCAAAGGAGAGGAACUCUGCCGACUGAAACCUUUAUUUUUCUAGGUUGACCUCGGAUCAGGUAGG
rnacentral:rRNA from 1 species